CAGCCGCCGCGGUAAUACAGAGAGUGCAAGCGUUAAUCGGAUUUACUGGGCGUAAAGGGCGCGUAGGUGGUUAUGUAAGUGAGAUGUGAGAUCCCCGAGCUCAACCUGGGAACUGCAUCUUAUACUGCGUAGCUGGAGUGCAGUAGAGGGUAGUGGAAUUUCCGGUGUAGCGGUGAAAUGCGUAGAUAUCGGAAGGAACACCAGUGGCGAAGGCGGCUACCUGGACUGACACUGACACUGAGGCGCGAAAGCGUGGGGAGCAAACAGGAUUAGAUACCCGAGUAGUCCCUGUCUCUUAUAC
rnacentral:rRNA from 1 species